UUUAGUUUGUUUUCACAAAUACAGUCAUUACAGAUGUUUGGAGAAGAAUGGGUGUAGUUUUGGCCCCAAACAGGUCCUUACUGAAUGAAUUAGGAUCUACAGUCAUGACUAGAAGGAAAAUUCUCUAAGUCAGGCUGCCCUCCUCGAUCCUCUUCCAUCGUCGACAUUUCACAUAACCUCACUUCCAUUCCUGACAAAAGAGUACAAAAGACGUUCGACCUUCGGGUCAUGACCCCAUGGAUCAGUGGGGAGUCCGAGAAGUUUAACCGCUGCCCUGCAACUACUGUAUUAUGACGUCGCGUAAUAUCACGCCAGGAGUACACUUAAACAUAGUUCAAGCCAAUCCGUAAAACGUGUAUAUUUGAGCAUUUCCAAUUGUAAUCGCGCGAGCUAAUUC